GGAAACUGAGCCUUAAAAAGGUGAAGAACUUGACCCCAGACAUAACAACUAGAAAGUGACGAAACAGAGAUUGAAGCCCAGGUCUUUCUGGCUCUGUAUCUUGGCAUUGUCUCCUGUGCCUAGUGUUUACCAAAUUUCCAGUUUUUUGACAAACUUCUCCAUAUUGGGACUUUGCAUUUUCCACUUUUAGUUAUUUGUUGCAAAACAUACUUGAAUAUAAAAGUUUCCAUUUUAAAUUAGAAUAAUUCAGAAAUUACUCACACUAUGCAACUCUGUACUAUGCUCUAUAUAGUAUAGAAGAAAGUCCUGUCUUUCCUAAGACAAUUUUGUUUCUUUCAUGAGUGUUUCGACAAAUAUACAGAUAUUUCAUAUGAUAAUCAACCAAAAGUAUCUCCUUCAAAUUCUUUUAUUCUAAAAUUGCAAGUAAAAUAUAGAUAUAUUCUUGUAAAAGAUUCAAAUGACAUAGAAAAAGCAAAGUCCUCUCCCAUUUUUAGUCCCUUCCCCAGAAGCAGCCACCUGAGCCAGUUAUUAAUCUAGAUUCCUCACCAACAAAUCCACCUCCCCUUACUCUGCUUUUGAUGUGCAGCUGGGCUGUGACUCCGCCAACAAUAUCCCCAGAUUGCUUUACCAGAUGGCUUCCUGGAAGUUUUUUUCCAGCAGGAAGUGGGAGGAGGGGAGAAAGGACUUCCCUGCUUUUUCCCAUUCCUGUCAGUGUUAGUCUCACCAGUGGAAUUUGCCCCGGUCUCUAUGCCCUUUUGGCAACCCCAGGACCUUCCUUAGGGACUCCUCAGAAGUGCAGCUGAAACAGGUGGGGCUCCCUCCACAAAUGUCUGAGCACACUCCUCUGGGGCCUCCUUUAUAUGUCUAGAUUCCUGUAACCCUGCCUUUUCCUUUUUGUUUUCCCAGACCUAGGAUGGUAGCUCUUUCCUGCAGUUAUUUUCUCUGGUUUCCCUCAGUGUUUCUGCUGUGUUCUCUCAGUCCUCUAAUUCUUGUGUUAAAUCUCCUCUGUUUG
rnacentral:lncRNA from 1 species